AAGUUUUUGGACAGCAGAAAAACCUUGUAUGAUGCUUAAUACAUUUAAACGUUAUAAACUAAGCAACUCCCCAACCAACAAUUCACUACCACCAAAUAGAACUCUAUUUUCUGAUCUUUCAACAAGAUAACCACAACUCAAUAUUCGUAGAACAUGUAGCAUUGAAAAGUAACAAAUCAGUUGUUUUUGAAUUGUAGAGAGAUAAUUUGUGUACAGUUCAAACACUUAAGAUUUACCAAGGCUUUUAGCUCUUCUGGCAGCUCAGUGAUGGGAGUAUCUGAAAGAUUAAGGUAUUGUAGUGAAAUGAAUUUCAAAAUUCCUGAUGGCAAUCUUCUCAGGUAACGGUUCUUAUCGUGUGUUUGUGUGGUAUCGUCUUCUUAUCGCGUCAAAAUUGAACUAAGUCGAAUCCGGCUUAUUUUAUAAUUAUGUCAAGAAUCUCAAACCAUACACGAAUCCAUUUAUUAUUUUCACCUAUUUAAUAAAAUUUUAAAUUUUUCUUCAUAAAAACUGUUAGGAAAUUGGUGGGUGAAGCAGGACCGCAGCUAAGAUGAAAUCGUAAGAAAAUAAAGAACAAGCACAAAAAUUAGACACAAGAAAUUACAUGGUUCGGCUUUUAGCCUACGUCCACAGGCGAAGACAGAAGGAAAUAUUUUACUAGUAAAAAGGAGUUACAAGUAUUGUAGUAUUUUAGCUCACUACCCAAAACCCCAAUACACCAAAACUCUCAAAUCACUAUAACAAGAGCUUAUAAUUUUAAGCUCUCUAAACUCUCUCUCAAAAUGCCUUUCACAAAUUUGGAUGCACAAAUCAAAAUGGGUGCUCUCCCCUUUUAUAGCCAAAAUUGGCUAUUAAAAUAUAUUUUUUUUUUUCACCGCCAUUGAAUGUCAAAGUUCCUUCUUCAAGAAAUGCUGCUGCUGCUGCCAACUUUCUUCUUCUUUGAACAACAUUAUGCUGACCAUCUAGAUGGUUGCUUUAUACCAUCUAGAUGGCCACCUUAUUUGACAAAAACGAAAGUUAAGGUGUUUUUAUUACUUUUUUUGUUUUGAAAUUAUGUAGUAUUACCUACACAACAUCCAGUCAAAUUUGUUUGAAAUAUAAAUAAAUAGCUUUUAAACAUGACAUGUAACGCAUAUCUAAUUGACUAAUAGAUAAUUUAAUAUUAAUUGAUUAAUUAAUUAAUCGUUCAUAAAACAACUUAUCAUAUUAGCAUGCUUAUGAUAAUCCUUUACAAUUCUUAUUCCAAUUGUUUAAUUUAAAUAAUUCAUCAAAAAUGAUUUAGUAAAAAUCAUUUCUGCAUAACAUGCUUGAGAAAAAGAAAUUGAGUUCAGAAUUGAAAACCAAAGAAUAUAUAGAUUUUGAAUUCACAUCCAACUCAACGGAACAACGAUAUUCAUCCAAAAUCAUGAACCAAAUCUCAAAACAACAUGUUCAACUUUGUUUGAAAAUUUUACCAAAGCUUCAUAAUUGUUAAGAUGAAUGGCAAAUACUGCAUCGCUUUGUAAACAGUAGCGACCGCCUUCUCAGUUGCUUCCAGCUAUUGAUUAGAGAUCCUUGAGCAGCAUCCAGGUGUUCACUCUUUUGGUGGACAGUUAUCAAUACCCCAAAUAAAAAUCCUUGAACAAAGGAUUUGGUUAUAGUUAGAACAGAAGAUAUUAAAAAGAGUAUAUAAUAGACCAUAGAAAAUCAAAGCCCCAAAAAAUUGAUUUUCAUUUGAUUUUCUGUAAAGAGGCCUAGUAUACUUAACAUUUUGUAUUCAUUCUAGAAGUGUGUACUUCAGUCUAAUUAUAUCCUUUUACGGAAACUAAACAAAUUUAUGUGAGCAUUAAUUGAAUUCAACUAUUCAAGCAUCAACUUGAAAAAACAGAGCAAAAUUUGCCAACAAAAAGUAAAAAGCCAGAGCAUCAAUUCGACCCAAAAAUAAAAAAGAAAAAGGAAAUGGCAGUGCCUUGAAAAUUUUCUAAAGCAUUGACUCCAUAUAAUUCAACAUUUAAUUGUGAUUUGCAGGAGACAAAAAACGAAUCUGAAAUAAAAACCUAGUCUGUUGCACGAAGCAAAUGACGAGAAUAUAUGAAAGAGUUUAAGAAAAAAGCACUCACUAGAAUCAAAUUUUGCAACCACCGCUCAGGAAUUUAUAUUUCAUGAGAUUGGAAACAGGAACGAAAAGCAAUUUGAGUGGCUUCAUCCUCCCAUUGAAGACGGUUCCACCAGAGUGUGUAUCCACGAAUAACGAAUUUACGCUCUGUUGCACUGUUGGAAUCGAGUGGAAGCUUUUUAAGCUGAUUACACCCAUGUACCGUCAUUUCUUUGAGAUGAGUGAAAGGCAAUGGCUUCCAGUAGAUGCUCUUCAACUCUGGCAAAUCAGUUAAAUAAAGCGUUUGGAGAUUUCCAAAAGGGCUUAUAUGUCCCAUCACCUCAGGAGUCUCAGCAAAUUUUCCAACGCUGAUUAUUUCUUCCAUAGCAUUGCAUCCGUAUAGCGAAAGAGACUUGAGGCUUGGAGCAAAAACGAGGAAUGUCAAAUCUUUCAAUUUAUGGCACCGCUCCAUAGUAACACGGUGAAGGCUGCGGAAAACAAAAGGUUCCGACCUUUUUGGCGCAAUCUCUGUAUAAUCAACCUUCAAUUCUUCCAACUCCACUGCCGAACGAAUGCAUAGUUCAUUGAGAUGCUUUAGAUCUGAGAAAGCCGUAGCAUGAAUCGACUUUGUACCUCCCAGCUUAUUGAGGAAAAGAGAUCGAAUACAAUUUUUUAACUUAUUUGAGCUCAAAAAAAAUUGGAGAGCAUCAUAGCUUCGCAAGGUCAACUCCAACACCUCUAAAUAUUUCAAACCGAGCAAUUCAUGUACUAAAACUUCACCCCCACCAAUUAAAACGCUGUCUUCUGAUGGUUCUUUAGAAUUUUCAAAGCCAAUAGCGAACAUUCUCAACACACGUAACCAUGAAGAAUUUGAUAUUAGCUGCCGUGGAAUUUUAUUUAACAUAUGUGUCCACCUCAAAUUCAAACAUUUCAGAUUUACCAACAACUUUAACUCUUCUGGUAACUCUCUUAUGCCGGUAUGUGAAAUAUCAAGAAGUUGUAGUGAACCCAACUUUGACAUCCCAAAAGGUAAUUUCAAAACUUUGACAUGCCCACAGUUUGACAUCUUCAAAACUUUGAGAGAAGGCAUACAUUGGAAGAAGCCAUCGGUCAUCAUCUCCAAUUUAUAAUUAAAGUCAAGAAAUAAAGUGAGGAGAUGAGGGCAUGUGGGAACCUCUGACAGAAUUUCAAUUUGGUUUUGCAUCAAUGACAAUCUUCUCACAUUUUCCCAUCCUUCAACAUCUGAUACCGCUCCUACUCCAGCACCUGCACAAACCAAAAAUUUUCUCUCCUCCUUCUCAAUUUCACAAGCUAUCCAUCGAGCCAUAUCACGAACAACGUCAUGCAUUUUUACUUUAUCUUCUUCUAACUCUUCUAAUAAACAUGCAUGAACAAGAGUGCCCACAAUGUAGUAUCCUUGGUUUUCUGCACUGAACCUGUCAGAUUCCUCUAAGAAUCCCUCACCAAUCCAACAAUCAAUCAAGUCCCAUUUAAGAAUGCCAUAAUCCUCGGGAUAUAAACAACAAUAUAAGAAACAAGAUCUAAUCGUCUCAUUCUGCAAACUAUCAUAGCUAAACUUUAAAAGACGAUACACCUUUUCUCCCAAACCUGCAAACUCAGAAGCUGAUGUUCUUAGCACAUCAAUUGCAUGACUCCACUCCUCGGCUGUCUUUUUGAAGGCCAUAGCUCGACCAAUAGUAAUAAGUGCGAGUGGCAAACCACCACACUCUUUGGCCACAGUUUGGGCUAGCUCAACGAUAUCAUGAUCACUCUCAAGAGUUUCUUCCCCAACUUUUUUUCGAAACAGUUCCCAAGCAUGCUCUUCUGAUAAGCAUGCCACUUGGAACUUCUUGUCAGCUUCCAUGCUACCACAAACAUCGACGAAACGGGUUGUGAAUACGACUUUUGAUGUAGUAUUUUUUUGUCCGGAAAGUGGAAUGCCCACUUUUGUUAAAUCAACCCGCUCCCAUAUAUCAUCUAACAGCAAUACAAUUCUCUUCUCUCUUAAACUCCGGAAGAUGUCGAGAGCUUUCUCCUCUACACUUUUACUCUUCCAUGAAUCAUCAACCAAACCGAUCUUUUUCCCAAUAUCUUCUUGAAUUUUUUCGAGUCGCAAGUCCUUUGAAACUACGGCCCAAAUCACACAAUCAAAACUGGUUGGACUCUCAAGAAAUUUAUUGUUGAUAUGGGUCAAUAGUGUAGUUUUACCAACACCGCCCAUACCAUAUAGGCCAAUGAUUCCCACUGAUUCUUCUACAAGACAUCUCCAAACUUGUUCAAGUUGUGAUUGCAAGCCUACUAUUGUUGGCUCAGUGGGUCUUUCAUCUGCUACAGGUUCUGGAGCUCUCUCAGGCACCACCUCGGUAGCCACCGCCGCAAAAACUCCUUCGUCGAUUAAAGUCUGCACAUCCCGUAGCUUUUUAGCCACUUGUUUCCCGAACUUGUAGCUUGACGCGCAGUUCUUGGAACAGUAGCCUCCAACACAUAAUUUGUCAAUUUCUUGAGAGCCGUGUCUUUUCAAUUCAUCAGCUUCAGUUUCAACAGCUUCCACCCUCGAAAGCCACACUUGCACUUGGUCCAGCGUUCUCAGUUGUUGCCGUUCAGCAUUGACAACCCUCAUCAUCACAUCGUUCUUUGCUGCGAUUAGUUUUCCCAAUUCAGUCUCCAAGGCAACAAGGUUAUCUUGGAGCUUACUUGUGUUUGCUACUUUUCCAAGAAAGCAAUCCAAGCAACGAUUGAAAAAAGCACCAUCGCAUGUGAUUUGAAAUAUGUUACCCAUAUUUUGGAAUUUUGAUACGCGAAGAAACCAAGAAAAUUGAUUGAGUCUGAUUAACUGAGGCUGCUGUGGUCUAUGGAAGAGAAAAGUAAUGAUCUCUGUCCGUUAUACCGGAGAAAUUUUGGAAAGAUUUACACACGUCUUAUUGGGUACCCACUGACGUUGCCUUCAAAAGAAAGGCAUCGCACUUGUACAAACGUGAUCCUAAUGUUUGAAGAAAUAACAAUCCUUUACCCCUUUUUUCUUUUUUGUGGGGACAAUUUUAUUUGAUAUACUAUUUAAAUUGGGUGUGUCUAUACACUACAACUCUACAUAAUUAUAAUAGUAGGACGAAACUAAUUUAUUAUUAUGAAGUAGUUAAAACCUAAUAAGCAUGUAGUUACAAAAAUUAUCGUUAUAACUUAGUUACUUUUAUUGUAAGGAUAUAGAGAUGAAGUACGCAACGUAUUAAUAAUUUAUUAAUAAUUAUUGUUAUAACUUAGUUACUUUUAUUGCAAGGAUAUAGAGAUGAAGUAUGCAUCGUUUUAAUAAUUUAUUAAUAGAGCAUGUCAAAUCUAAUAUAUAAAUAUAUCAAUGUAUUAUUGUUAUAAAUAUGCAAAGUCAUCUUAAAAAUCUCUAAAUAUUUGUGUUCUCUUUAAUAACUUUCUCUCGUUGUCUAAGUAGUAUGUGGAGACAAGUUCAUUUAAUUUAAUGCAACAUAUAUAUUUAUAAUAUGCAAAUAAUUAUUACUAUAUAGAGACAAGUUCCUUAGGAUGGGAUCCAUAAUAAAUAUAACUUAUACAAUGAGGAUUUUAUUCUUAUUUAUAACUCUGCCUAAAUUGCGAACAAAAUUUUUUAUUACUAAAUGGAGAUUAUUCCUAUCAUUAUGGAGAGGUUUUAAUGUAAUUGCUUCAAGAUUUGAAUGUGUCAGUUUUUCUUUUUUCUUUUUUUCCUUAAAAGAUUUAAAUAGUCAGGAGAGCUACAUCCAAGGGAUGUUUUCUUUUCUUUUCUUUUUUUUCCUAACAAAUGUUCUAAACUAAUUGUAGUAAAAUAUGUCAAUGGUAAUAUUUUGUGUAAGAAUGUAUCAAUAUGAGCCAAUUAUAAAAAGGAAUAAAAACUCUACAGUGUAGUAAGUUAUAAAUUUUCUUAGGUCCUACCUUAAAAGACUUGUCUCCAUAUACUAACAAUUAUCUAUACGUUGCAAAAUAUGCACAUAUAUAUAUAUAUAUAUAUAUAUGUUUACUUAUAUUAAAGGUUUAAGACGAAAUAAAAUAUUUUGUAAAAUUAUUUGUGACAAUAAUUUAUUCUUAAUUUAGAGUUCUUGCCCAAUCAUUGUACAAUAUUUGUAGAAUUUAACUAAGAGAAAAAACUAAGGAUAAUGUAAAGUGUAGGCUUGACUUUCCAUAUUCAUAACACUACAUAAAUAUACAUUAAUUAGUUUUUUGAAACUAUGUCUAUCUAUAUCAUUAAUAUAUAUACAUUAGAAUUGACACGCUUCAUUAUUUAAUUAUCAUUGUACUGCAUAUUUAACCUUUAUAUCACUUGACACUAACCAUAUUAAAACAAUAAUUUUGUAACUAAACCUAUAUUACCUCAACAUAGUAAUAAAAUUAAUUUUGUUAUAAUGUUAUGACUAUAGAGAGGUUUUACUGUAAUUAGAGAUAUGUUUGUCAAUUUUUACCAACAUUCUAAAUUACUUAAUUUCUCCAAUUUCAUAUUCAACUUUGCAAAAAGUAAUUCGUAGCUUAAAUUGCGUGUAAUGAAAAUUUUUUAUUAUUAAUUCACACAUAAACUCGAAUUAAAGAUCCGAGUUCUAAGAAAAUUACUGCUUAGCACUGGAACUGAUCCAUAAAAAAAAGGUAACGACUUCGAUGAACAGAGACUGCCCCGGAAGAUAACAAUAACUCUGAAUAAUGAUUGUAAUUACCAAAAACUAUUCUAAAAGAUAAUAAAAGAAGAAUUUAAAAAAGAGUAGACGACAGGAUAUUCGAUUCUUGACUACUUUAUACUUUCUUUGCCUUUAAUAAAAGAGCCUACGUUACUUUUGCUUUUGUGGAAUAUGGUCUUGCUUUUUCUUGACAACUUUCAACGACACUAGCGCUAAAAGUGAAACAAUUAAUGUUUCAAGGCCAAGGCCUAAUCAUGAUAAUUGGUAAAAGACUAAAAUACCAACAGAAAUUUCUUCUCUUUACAUUUUUAACUGAGAUUUUAUUUAAAUAAAUAACGUUAAAUCAUGCUUUCUCACCACCGUUCGUAUAUAUAAAAGGAGAAAAACAGUUACACCCCGAAUAUUUGAAAAAAUAGAUGUAAACUCUAAAUUUUUCAUAAAAACACAAAAAUUCUGUUUUGAUCAUAAUAUCUUUUGAAUACUAGUUAAAAAAGAUUAACUUUGAAAUUUUAUAAUAAAUAGAAAAUAAUAUAAAUAGUUUAGUCUGUCUAAUAGUUAGUAAUAUUAAAAUAUUUUUUAAUAUUUAAAAUAAUUUUAAAAAUAUGAUUAUUAAUUUAUUAUAAAUAAAUCUUUGGGUUAAAUAGAAUUUUUAAUUAAUAAAAUGCAUCUCACGCAUUAACAAUAUUAAAGUUAUUUUAUAUAAUAUUCAAAAUACUUUAAAAAUUUUAUAUAUCUAUUUUAAUAGUAUGUUUGUAUUUAUUAUAAAAUUUACUUUAAAAAAUAAAAUAUAUCUGAUAGACUAUAAAAUGUUAAAAUAUAUUUUAAAUAUUGAGAUUAUUUUAAAAUAUAUAUUAUUUUAUUUAUUUUAGGAUUAUAUGUUUUUAUUUAUUAUAAAAUAUUAGAGUCAAAUUUUUAAGUUAUCUAGGAAAAAUAAUAUUAUAAUUAAAAAAGAGUUUUGAACAUUUCGGGGUGCAACUUUUACUUUUCUCUAUAUAAAAUAUUACUAUACCACUAAAAUCAGCUCAAUUUUUUUCUUACUAAAUUCAAUUUCCAUAAAGAUUUCGUUAAUCAUUAAUAUUCUUUAUCUUUUUUUAAUCCUUAUAAUAAUGAUCAUCUCUGUUCCCAGCUAUAAAACAAACCGAUUUUAAAGCUAUAAAGCAUAUAUGGCUCUUUCUCUGUGUGCAAUAAUUCUAAUAAGAUAGAGGUGAAAAACAUUUGACUUUCCAAAUAUUAGAGUCAAAUUUUUAAGUUAUCUAGGAAAAAGAAUAUUAUGAUUAAAAAAGAGUUUUGAACAUUUCGGGGUGCAACUUUUACUUUUCUCUAUAUAAAAUAUUACUAUACCACUAAAAUCAGCUCAAUUUUUUUCUUACUAAAUUCAAUUUCCAUAAAGAUUUCGUUAAUCAUUAAUAUUUUUUUAUCUUUUUUUAAUCCUUAUAAUAAUGAUCAUCUUUGUUCCCAUCUAUAAAACAAACCGAUUUUAAAGCUAUAAAGCAUAUAUGGCUCUUUCUCUGUGUGCAAUAAUUCUAAUAAGAUAGAGGUGAAAAACAUUUGACUUUCAAAAUUUCUAAUAAAUACAAAUAUAACAUAAAUAAUUGUGGACAAAUGUAUAAAAAUGUUUUAAAUAUUUACAUCAAAAUGUGAAUAAUUUAUUUUUAUUUAUUUUAAAGAUUUUUAAAAAUCAUUGGGUUAAGUAAUUUUAUAAUUUACAAAAUAUAUCCCACGUAUUAAUUAUACUAAAAUUAUUUUACAUUUAAAUCUUUAUAAAUUUAUUUUAAUAUUAUGUUGCUAUUUGUAAGAAAAAUCUUAUUAAUUUAAUAAAAUAUGUCUGAUAGAUUGUAAAACAUUAAAAUAUAUUUUUUAUUGUAAUUAUGUAAAAUGUGUAAAUUAUCACAUUUAGCUUAAUACUAUAUUUUUAUUUGUUAUAAACUAUUGGAUCUUUUAUUAAUAAAGUCAAAAAAUAACAUUAGUCAAAAGAUAUCUUAGUAUCUCUUAUUGAAACUUUAGGAUACAGUUAUCCUUUUCCUUUUUAUUGGAUCCUAAUCCAUGUCAUUAUAGUUGGCAAAAUUUGACACGACCCGAUUAUCCGACACGAACACAACACUAACAAAUGGGUAUGGGUCGUCGAAUUUAACAUGAUUAUUAAAUGGGUCGGGUCCGGGUCAACACGAUUUUUUUCCGUGUCGGGUUAGGGUUAAAAUUCUUGACCCAUUUACCCGAUUAAUGACCCGAUUAUAUUUUUUAUUUUAAAAUAAUUUACAGAUUCUUGUCAUCAAAACUCAAAUAUUAGAGAUAAUUUUUUUUCUUUAAAAGGAUGAAUAUAGACACAAUAUUUUAUUUAUAAAAUUUUAAAUACAUUUAGAGCUUUAAUAGUUUAAAUGUAUAAAAUAUUGGUAGACAUGUAUAUUUUAUAAUAUUGAUAUACAAUAUUAUUUACAUAUAUAUAAUUAAAACCUUAAUAGUGUGUGUAAUAUUUUAGUAGAUAUGUAUAUUUUAUAAUAGUGAUAAAGUAUGUAUGUAUGUAUGUAUGUAUGUAUGUAUGUGCAUACAUAUGUAUGACAAAGUGUAAAUAUUUGAUGUAACUUUUGUUUAAUAUAUAGAUAUUAAGCGGGUUAUUGGGUAACCCGAUUAUUUUUUCGUGUCAGGUUUGGGUCUCAAUAUUUUGACACGAUUAUUAAAUGGGUCGGGUUUGGGUCGACCUAAAUUUGACACGACACGAACAUGACUCGAUGACCCGUUUUGCCAGCUCAACAUGUCAUGUGCUUUCCCUUGAUUUAUUUAUACUUUUGACACGUGGCUAGACAAGAUUUGUUGCUGCAAAUCCUGCACCGACACUAACUUAUAAUCUUAAUAAGUAAUAGUGUUAACGAGGCUUUAAUAAAAAAAUUUCCUCUAAAACAAACAAUAACAAUAAUUUUGACCAAAGUCUCAAGGACUACUACUCAUGCUAAUAUUUUAGGUGAAACUUAUUCGAAUGCAAAAUUAUCGACAACACAAUUGAAAACAUACUAGAUAAGACUUGAAUAAUCUUGAAUAUUCAAAUUUAAUUCCACAAAAGCGAACAUAUUACAACAUCAAGUUAAUAUCAAUUUACAAUCAAUCUAUUACAACAAACAACUGGAAAAAAAAAACCAUAAAAAACGAAUUGACAGACAUGGAUGAACUAACGCAGUCAUAUAUCUUCCAUUCAAUGAAUGCGUAUAAUCAAAUAGAGCACUGUUAAAAAUAUCCUUUGCUCUCUUUCAUAACAUUCUCCACUACGGUCGACUUUUCCAACUAAUAUAGGUGUCAAAAACAAAUAUCCUGCAACCAUCAAUCCAAAGCGUGUACUUUUUUAAAACUAAUAAGUUUGCCCUCUAAAGGGAUACAUUGCUUCUUCUUUUUUUUCUUUUUGGGAAUAUCUUUUGCUUGGAUCUCUUCUAAAUUAAUCAACGUCUCCAUUUUCAGUGUUUUAUUUCUUUUUCUUUUUUUAGUUAAAUAUUUGAUCAUCUUGUUAUACUUCAAUCGCUUUUAUGAUUUGUCUUAAAUAUUAAGGAGCUUAGAGAAAAAUAAUCCACAUGCAUGUACAAAAAAAGGGGGAAAGAGAAAAAUAAAAGUGUUGCCUAAAAACAUUGUAAUCUUAGAGCCAAUCCAAAAAUCCCCUUUUUCACAAUAGAUUCCUCCCUUAAAUACUCUAAAGGGAUACAUUGCUUCUUCUUUUUUUUCUUUUUGGGAAUAUCUUUUGCUUGGAUCUCUUCUAAAUUAAUCAACGUCUCCAUUUUCAGUGUUUUAUUUCUUUUUCUUUUUUUAGUUAAAUAUUUGAUCAUCUUGUUAUACUUCAAUCGCUUUUAUGAUUUGUCUUAAAUAUUAAGGAGCUUAGAGAAAAAUAAUCCACAUGCAUGUACAAAAAAAGGGGGAAAGAGAAAAAUAAAAGUGUUGCCUAAAAACAUUGUAAUCUUAGAGCUAAAGUAGUAAAGUAUAUGGGAUAACUCCAAUUUCAAAUAAAAUAAAAAGCAGUGACACUUGCUUUCUUUUUUCUUGUCCUUUCACGUUCAAAAAGUAAAAACGAUUAAUUUCAUAUUAAUCUCUUAUCAAAUAAUAUUUUUAAAUAUUUUAAAUUAUUGUAAUUUAAUUUAUUUCAUUUUAUUAAGAUAAAAUUUUUUUAUCCAUAUACCACAUUUUUCUUUUAUCUUUUAAAUAAAAUUAAGAUAAAUUAAAUUUAUAAUAAUUUAAGAGAUAUUUUAAAUAUUGUCAUCUCACAAUUGAGGUCGUCUGAAUUUUAUCUACAACAAAAGCAACGAACCACUUAUCUUUAAUAAUUAAAAUGAUGAAUGUACAUAAAAUGAAUGCAUUAGCUGGCCACCAAUUUGUCCUUAGUUGCAAGUGCAUUUCCUGUUUCACUCCGAAGCUUUUACAAAGUAUUUGCCAGUGAACUUUUGCACAUUCUAACCCUGCACUUUCUUCAUAAUUUGCAGGAGACAAAUGAAAUUGAAUUCACAAUUACCACAGAAUAUAUAAUUGAAAAGUUGAUUCACAUCACCCCCAUAUAGAACAAGUAGUACUGUGUGACUGUCCCGACCGAACAUACAAAAUUUAAUAAACAAAAAAAAAAACUAGCUAACUUUGUCAAGGACGGCAAGCAUGCAGCAACACCAGCAAUAGAAACAGAGACAAAGAAAUGAUAAUAUGACAGGAAGUGAAAAAAUGAAAGGGAAAAAAGUCACAACAAAGAAACCACCACAGGUCGUACUAAACCCCGCUGAUCUGCUCCAGAAUCUCUCCAUCCAUGUUGAUGACGCCCCCUUCAAUCACUUCUGAGUUGAUUUUAAAAAUGGAAGCAAUGCAUUCUGAGUUACUUGAUCCUCCCAUUGAAGUUGUUUCCACCCAUCUUUCUUUCCCUUGAUAAGAAUUUUACCUUGGCCUGCCCUUUCAAGAUCCAGUGGCAGCUUCUUAAGCUCUGGGCAUUUAAAUACAAAAAUUCUGCAUACAUCAGGGAAUGGCAAGGCCUUCCAGUAGAUGCUGUUCGAAUUUGGUAGUUUCUUCCAGUAAAGAACUUGGAGUUUUGUAAGAGGUUCAAGAUUUGACAUCAUCUCUUCACCUAAUUUUCCUACAUUGAUUAUUUCCUCUAUAUCACUUUAUGUGAACAAUAAAGUUAACAUAAUCAAUAGCACAACUUAGCUUUAAAAUACAGGUUAUAUGCUUUGCUACUAAACAAACUAAUAAGAAUCAAGUGAAUCUGCCAGCAUCUUGAAUGCUAACAGUGCUUGCUGAAUGAAAAUAUAUAUGUUGUCAAUAAAUGGCUGUAGAUGGAAACCUUACCUGUUCUAGAAGUUUUCCUGCUCGAGCAUGAUCCCCCCGAGCAAAUGCAUCAAUAGCCUGACAAGAAACUGUAUUCUUACUUUAUGGUUUUUAAAACUUAAAAGGCAAUUGACACAUACAAAAUUGCAUGUUUGGGGCAUAUAAAAAAUGUGUGAGAAAACAUAAAUAAGGGGAAAAAAUGACCAAACCCAUAAAUGAAAGGAAAAUUUAGCUACCUUCUCCCCGUAUAUAUAUAUUUCUACAGAACCACUUACAGGUUCAUAUGGUUGACCAGACCAGGAUUUAAAGCAAGUGAACCUAAUUCUAUAUAAUAACUUACUGCUGUUUUUCUUUAACAUUGAUGCUACCACAAUGCAUGAACUAGUAUCUACAGAUAUUCCCUUUCAAGAAAUAUGCAAAAUUUUAAGUCUUUCAGAUUCAGAGAACUUUAUCUUUUCUAUAAUGUAUGUAACUAAAAGAUAUUUGAUCUAACUGAAGCAGACAAAAUUCUUUAGACAUUCCAAGCCCCAAAGUGUAACUGUUACAAAGUUCUCCAGGUGAGAGAAAAUAUUCAUAUCAUAGUUUCCAUUAGUUAUUGCAGAAUCUUUAGUAUUCCAGAGCCACAAAGUAUAUCUGUUACGCAGUUCUCCAAGCGAGAGAUAAUAUUAAUAUCAUAGUUUCCAUUAGUUAUUGCAGAUAUACCAGUAUAAAGCUUUCCAUUAGUUCUCCAGUAAGUGGCAGAAAUCAAGAAUCCUACACACAUUAAUAUGCAUAAAUACAAAAGUAUACACACGAAAAUGCACACACUAGCAAAUCCAGUCAAUAUAGUUAAUAUAAGAGCACGUACUGUUCCGGUUAUCUUGCUGCAAGUCCACCACAUUAGCCUUGUAUUCUGUACCAAUUCCUCCGGCAGUUCACUCACCACCUUUCCUAAUGCUUUGGACCUCACACUUGGUCUUCACCGUAAUUUCAGGAAAUUCAUCAGAUUUCUCAGGAGCACUAAAUAAAGCAGCAAAAACUUCCUUCUGUAGUUCAUUUCCAUCUUCUGGGUGUCUAAACAAUUCUCCUUCAUUUGUAUUUGGAUCUUCCUUUGCACGUUUGAGGCAAUACAGUCAAAAGCUAAUCAAGUAACCAUAUAUGGAUGAGAAACCCCUGCACCCCCUUCCAAAACAAAGUCUAAGAAAUAUCAGAAUUCUUUCAAUAAAAAACCCUUCCCACCAUGCCGUAUCUACUGAAGGAAAAUAUAUUAGUCUUACAAGAGGUUGAGAAAAUAAAUUAAAUACCAUACCAUCCGGAAGAAUUCAAUUGUUGCAAUUUUCUUUCACGUGGAGGCCCUCCAAAAGUAGAGCACAUACCCAUACACUGUUUAUGAAAUCAUAAUGAUGGGAAACCAGGUAUUAAUAACAAAUCUUACACUUAAAAUGCAACUGUGAUGGAAAAGGAUAAAGAAAAAAAUUGAACUUGUUAUCUUGGAAAUGGUAAUCUAAGAUAUAGCAAACUUGGUACAUUCAUAUAUCAACAGAAGGAAUUUGUAGGUUUUUUAAAGCCAUAAUCAUUUAAUAAUCAUGAAUCAAGCAAUAAUAUAUCAUUAUUAUUUCUUUUCUUCUAAACUACAGAGACUUGCGCAUCAGAAUGAAGUGAUAUACAAUGGUUGUGAGCAGACACAAAUGCACGAUCAACAGAAAAAAUAAUCUGAACAUUUGCAUUACUAAUUUGGCAUAUAAAAGAUUCUCAUAAUAGCUCAAAAUACAAACAAAUGAACAUUUACAUGAAGACACUGCCAAUCACCCACUCCUAAUUUCUCAAAGAUUCAUUGUCUAAAGAUGAGGCAAAUACUCUCCUUGUUACUUAGAUAAGAAUAUCCAAAUUCUCCACAUGGCACAAUAUACAAAUUGCAUAUUCAUUUUCCUCUUCAAUACCAGUGUUAAGAAAAAUUAGUUAAGGCAACUGGAUGAAUUUUAGCAUCUAUCUUGGAUGAAUUGUCAACAGAGUUCCUCUUGUAUUCGUUCAACUGACAAUUAUACAAAAAGUUAUUGUCAGUGCAUGUUAAACUAUUACAUCCUACCAUUGGUUUUCACAUUGCCUAAAAUAGAUUUCCUUACUUUGCCCUGAAAGUGUUGCCUAGCCACUGAAAAGAAAAGGAAUUGAUGCUACCUCUAUGAUAUACAAACUGGAUCAUCAGCCACUUUUAAUCAUCUCCACAAGAAAAGAGUCCUGUACAAAAAUUAUGACCAUUGGUUAUUUAAUACUCCGGAAUUAUGCAUAACUUUUCAGAGGAUUUACCAAGAAAUUUUGUCUUCUCACCCAAAGUCUCUGCCGAGCGAUCAAUUGGUUUCAACAUGCUCUGAAGAGUGAAGAAAAAAACAUGUUAGUUAAGAAAAUGAUUAUAGAAUGGGCAUAUUUUCUUUGAAGAAUUACUUUAUUGAUUAAAUUAACUUGAGAAGGAAAAUUCAUGUUAUCAAGCUACAGAAACAAGCAGACCAAUUAUUAUUUCAACUUACAAUAUAGAAAUAUAAAAUCAUCACCUCAACUUUUCUUGAUUAAGAGGAACAUGCAUAACGUAAAGCAUCAUAAUCAGGUUCAAUGAAAAUGGUUCAAGUCUUCGAUCGAAACAAACAUUUCUGGCCGAAACAAAAUGAAGUCCUCCCAUUGCAUCAUAUCAAUCCAUGUUGAUGCCCUCAAAUGGAUCCGAAACAAGGAAGAAGAACAUUGAGGGUCACUUUGUCCUCCCAUUGCAGCUCAUUCGACCAAUGUUCUUCUCCCCUAAUGAUAGUUUUAGAUUCCUUUGCAUUGUUAAAACCAAGUGGAAGCUUCUUGAGAAUUGGGCAUUCAGAUACAAAAUUCGCCUGACAUGUAGAGAGGGCUACUGAUUCCAAUAGAUGCUUUUUAAUUUUGGUAGAACUCGUGGGCCAAGAUAUUGUUUGCAAAAGGGUUUAGAUCUGCCAUCAUCUCUGGAAAUUCAACCAAUUUCCUUGCACUGAUUAUUACUUCCAUCCCCAUACAUUUGUCUAUUUGAAUAACCUCAAGACACGGAGCAAAUACAAGCCAUGUCACUUCCCUCAAUUUAUGACAAGCCUUUAUCUUAACUCGUUGGAGGCUGUUCACACAAAAACAUUCUCGAGCCUUUCCAUCCUCGACACAGCAGAACUUAAACUCUUCCAAUUUCCACAAUUUGAAAAACCUAGUUUUUCAAGAUGCUUCAACUCUGCGCAGGCAAACAACUUUGAAUCACUACAGUCUAUAAGCUCCAAAGGUUGUGCACAGCUUUGAAACUUUUGGGAGCUCGUAAGUUUUUGGACAGCAGAAAAACCUUUUAAGGUGAUGCUUAAAUACAUUUAAACCAACCAAGAAUCCACUACCACCAAAUAGAACGCUAUUUUCUGGUAUUUCAACAAGAUAACCACAACUGAAUAUUCCCAGAACAUGUAGCAUUAAAAGUAACAAAUAAUCACGUCUAAUUUUGAAUUAGGCUGCUAAUAAAUAAUAUUAAAACAAGUAUGGAAUAAUCAUGUCACGUUUCUAGGAUUUCUCUUUAAAUAAGAAACAAUAAGUGAUGAUAACAAUUUUAGGCAAAGUUUCAAAAUCAUAGCUAUCAACAUUUCUACAUAUUUCUUACAUUUUUCUAAAACAUAAAAAUUUGAAUAAAUUAAAAAUGAUCGGAAAACUAGCCACUGGGGCAACUUCAAUGCUACCUUGGUUUCUCUGGUAUCCUAGUAUUGUACAUGGCUCUCAAGAAUGAAAUGAUCAACAGGAAAAAUCAUCUGAACAUUUGUAUUACUAAUUUGGCAUAUAAAGAUUCUAAUAAUAGUUCAAAAUACAAAUAAAUGAACAUUUACAUGAAGACACUCUGACACUGCCAAUCACCCACUCCUCAUUUCUCAAAGAUUCAUUGUUUAAAGAUGAGGCAAAUACUCUCCUUGUUACUAAAAAUAAGAAUAUCCAAAUUCUCCACAAUGGCACAAAUACAAAUUGCAUAUUCAUUUUCCUGUUCAAUACCAGUGUUGAGAAAAAUUAGUUAAGGCAACUGGUAUAAUUUAGCAUCUAUCAUGGUUGAAUUUGCCAACAGAGUUCCUCUCAUAUUCAUUAAACUGACAAUUAUACAAAAAGUUAUUGUCAGUGCAUAAUAAACUAUUACAUCCCACAACUGGUUUUUACAUUACCUAAAAUAGAUUUCCUUACUUUGGCCAAAAGUGUUGCCUAGCCACAGAAAAGAAAAGGAAUUCAUGAUCCCUCUAUGAUAUUACAAAACGGAUCAUCAACCACUUUUAACGAUCUUAAAAAAAAAAAAAAAAAAAAAAAAAGAAGAGUCAUGUACAGAAAUUGUAUGGGAGAGGCUUAAUGCUUAUAAAGGUAUUCCACAUUGCUCGAGUAUGGGAUAAGCCUAAUACUUAUAAAGGGUGAUCCACAGUUUAUAAAUGUAAUUUAUCUUCCAAAUUUCCACAAUUUGAAAAACCUAGUUUUACAAGAUGCUUCAACUCUGCCAAGGCAAACGACUUUGAAUCAUCACAGUCUAUAAGCUCCAAACAUUUUGUACAGCUUUGAAACUGUUAGGACAGAAGAAAAACCUUUUAAGGUGAUGCUUAAUACAUCUAAACGUUUUAAACUAAGCAAUUCCCCAACCAAGAAUCCACUACCGCCAAAUAGAACCCUAUUUUCUGGUAUUUCAGCAAGAUAACCACAACUGAAUGUUCGCAGAACGUGUAGAAUUGAAAAGUAACAAAUCAGUUGUUUUGGAAUUGUGGAGAGAUAACUUUUGUACUCCAGUUCAAACACGUAGGAUUUACCAAGGCUUUUAGCACUUUUGGCAACCCAGUGACGGAAGUAUCUGAAAGAUUAAGGUAUUAUAGUGAAAUCAAUUUAGAAAUUCCUGAUGGCAAUCUUCUCAGGUAACGGUUCUUUGAUAGAUUUUAAAGUGUAAGAGAAGGCACAAAUUCGAAGAAACCUCUGUUUGGAUAAAAUUUCAACAAAGAGAACGAAGAGAAGUGAUGAGUACAGUACAAAGAACUUUGCUUCUGGGCUUAGCGAAAAACAAAUGUUUCGAUUUCUAUACUACAACGUUCAAAAGCAAAUGCACACACUUUAAUCAACCAAACCAGGCAGAAAAUACAAUACUUAAUUUGAAGUGCAAGCGCGACUAACUACUAUGCAAUUCCGCUUUGACUUGAAUUUUUUAGUAGGGAAUCAUUUGCAUCAAAAUGAUCAAUUAAUUUACUACAAAUGAUUGGGGCAAUUGAUAAUGACAUGUAAUUCAAACCUUCAUAAUCUUCAUAGUAUAUCCUUGAAAUAUUCUAGGUAUAAUUUUCUGAAAUAAAAAAUUUAAUGAUUGGCAGCUAAAAGAAAAAUUAAAUUCUAAAUGCACUCGACUAUCAAGUUCUCUCCACUUUUCUCUUGUUGUAAUCACGUCUAAUUUUGAAUUAGGCUGCUAAUCAUGUCAUGUUUCUAGGAUUUCUCUUUAAAUAAGUGAUGAUAACAAUUUUAGGCAAAGUUUCAAAAUCGUAGCUGUCAACAUUUCUACAUAUUUCUUACAUUUUUCUAAAAAAAUGAAUAAUUGAAUAAAAAAAUGAUCAGAAAACUAACCAUCUGGGCAACUUCAAUGCCACCAUGGUUUCUCUGGCAUCUGGACAACUAAUAAAUCAUGCAAAUCGGCGACAACACUGGCCUAGUGGCACCAAUCAUCGAGAAUCGUUUAGCAAUGGCAUUUCAAGUAUACAGAGAUAGCUCAGAGCAUCACCAAAAGGCUCUUCAAAUAAGAUUUUAUUACUUAUUUGAAGAGCCACAUCAAUAUUUAAAGCUCCAAAAGAUACUUCAAUUAAGAUUCUUCAAAUAAGAAUUAAUUCUCUCUCUUCAAAUUUGGAGAGUUAAUUUCUCCCUC
rnacentral:lncRNA from 1 species